rnacentral:rRNA from 1 species
UACGAAGGGGGCGAGCGUUGUUCGGAUUUACUGGGCGUAAAGGGCGCGUAGGCGGCCAUGCGUGUCUUCCGUGAAAUCCCUCGGCUCAACCGAGGACGUGCGGAAGAAAACUGCAAGGCUCGAGUCCGGAAGAGGGGGGCGGAAUUCCCCAGUGUAGCGGUGAAAAUGCGUAGAUAUUGGGAGGAACACCAGUGGCGAAGGCGGUCCCCUGGGCCGGAACUGACGCUGAGGCGCGGAAAGCGUGGGUAGCAAACGGGG